rnacentral:lncRNA from 1 species
GCAAACAGAACUCAGCAAUACAUAAAAGGAAUUACACACCAUGACCAAGUGGGGUUUAUUCUAGGGGUCUAGCUGGUAAAUAUUCAAUUAUCAGUCAAUGUAAUUCACCAUAUUAACAGGCUAAAGAAGAAAAUUACAUGACCAUAUCAAUGCAUAAAAAGUCUCUGACAACCUUCAAUACCCAUCAUGAUAUAAACACUCAGAAAAAUAAGGGAACUUCCUUAACUUGAUGAAAAGCAUCUAUAAACUAUUAUACAGAUAAUAUACUUCAUGAGAAAUAAGGCAAGAAAAAAAUUUUUUAAAGAACAAAAAGGAAGAAAUAAAACUGCCUCUAUUUCUAGAUAUCAUGAGAUUGCAUAGAAAAUCCCAACAAAUCUAAAAACAGAAACAAAAAUGAACAAACAACUAAAACCUGUAAGAAAGCUCAGCAAGGUCACUGAAUAUUAGAUAAACAAACAUUCAAAAAUCAAUUGUAUUUGUUGGUAUGCUAGCAACGAACAUUAGUGAAUGCUAAAUUUAAAAUACAAUACCAUUUACAACUACUUGAAAAUCUAAUAAAACUUGUACAGAACUUGGAUGCUGAAAAGCACAAAAUGCUAAUAAAAGAAAUCAAAGAUCUAAAUAAAUAAGAGACAUACUUGUGUUCAUGGAUUUGAAAACUCAACACAGUGAAGAUGUCAAUUCUGCCCAAGUAUAUACUAGUUUAAUGCAAUUCUUUAAAAAAAAUCCCUGAAUUUUGUAGGUAUAGACAAAGUUAUUCUAAAAUUCUUCUGUAAAGGCAAAGGUAUUAAAAUAGCCAAAACAAUUCUCAAAAUGAAUCAAAUGAGAAAAAUCAAUCUACCUGUUUCAAGAUUUGGUAUAGCCACAGUAAUCCAACACUGUGUGGUACUGGUGGAGGAACAGAUCAUUGGAAAGAAUAGAGAACUCAACUAAUUCCAUAUUAUUGCCCAGCUGAUUUUUGACAAAGGUGCAACAGUUAAUCAGUGGAGGAAGGACAGCCUUUUCAGCAAAUGGUGCUGGAGUUAUUGGACACCAAUAGACAAAACCAAAAUAAGCCUUAACUUAAACCUCAUACCUUGUACAAAAAUUAACUCAAAAUGGAUGAUGGGCCUAAUUACAAAACGUAAAGCCAUAAAACUUAGGAAAAAAACCUAAGAGAAAACCUUUGAGAUGUGGGGCUAGGCAAAGAAUCCUUAGAUGUGGCAUGACACCAUAAAAGAAAACAAGUUAAUAAUUGCACUUUAACAAAAUAAAAUCCUUCUAUUAUACAGGCUGGGAGAAAAUACUUGGAAGCCACACAUCCUACAAAGGAUUAUUAUCCAGACUAUACAAGGAACUCUCUAAGCUCAAUAUUAAAACAACAAGCAAUCCAGGAAAAAAAAAAUGGGCAAAAAGAAUGAACAGACAUUUCACUGAAGAAGAUAUAUGGAGAGCAAAUAAGCACAUGAAAAAAUGUUCAACGCAACUAUUCAUUGGGGAAAUUCACAUUGAGACCAUGACAAGAUAUCACCCUAUUAGUGCAGAUAAAAUAGGAAUAGUGACAGCACAAAAUGCUAGAGAGGAUGUGGAGAAAUCUUUCAUACAUUGCCUAUGAGAAUGUACAAAUGGUGCAGCCACUCUGGAACACAGUCUGGCAGUUUCUUCAAAAAAUAAACACAUAUUUGCUAUACAGCUUAGCAAUUGUACUCCCAGGCAUCUGUCCCAGAAAAAUUAUUAAAAAUUAUGUUCACGCAAAAACCUGCACAUAAAUUGUUAUAGCAAUCUUCCUUGUAAUAGCCUCAACUGGAAACAACCAAAAUAUCCCUCUAAAAGCACAUGGUGAAACAAACUGUGGCACAUUUAUCCCAUGGAAUACUACUCAGCAAUAAAAAGGAACAAGCUUUUGAAGCAACAAUGUGGAUGGAUCUCAAGGGCAUUAUACUGAGUAAAAAAGCAAUUAGAAAGUUCACAUAAUGAAUGAUACCAUUUAUAUAACAUUCUCAAAGUGACAAAAUUACAGAGGUGGAGAACAGACUAGUAGUUGCCAGGGGUUAAAGAUGGUUAAGGGGACCUGGGGUGUGUGUGACUACAGAGGAAGAGUACGGAGAUCCUUGGGGUGACACAUAGCUCCUGAUCUUGACUGGUGAUGGUUACACAAAUCCACUAUAUGUGAUUUUGUAUGGCUGCUCUUGAUAAUGUACUAUGGUUAUGCAAGAUGCAACCACAGGAGGGAGACUGAGGAAAGGAUGCACAGGACCUCUCUGUAUUAUCUUUGCAGCUCUAAGUUAGUUUAUAAUUAUUCCUAAAUAAAAAGUUGUUUUUUUUUUUUAAGUUACUAAAGGUUAGAAUACAAACUAUCUGAGACCAGGGACCUUACUGAUUCCUGGGUGUUUUAUCCUUAGCACCGAAAAAGUGACUUACCCAUAGUAGGUGCUCAAUUAACAUUUGGCAGCUAGAUGAAUACUUCUGUAAUAGAGUCCCAUUUCUGUUUUCUAAGGACCAUGAUUAUAAAUGGUGAACAUCUGGAAACAUAAACACCACAUGGUAAAUGGUAGUUACUUCCAGAGAUGCGACAAGAUGGGAAGAGACAAAGUUGGGAGGUGGUGACAAAAGGGAGAUCUUAUGAACACUGCAGAAAUACAGAGUAAAGGGUGAAAAUUUUCAUUCAUUUCCCUCUCCAUCAUUCCAAAGGAGGAUUUUCCUCAUCUUAAUGAUUUUUAAAAACUGUAAUACGUGCUUAGUCAUGAGAAAAGAGCAAAUAUACAUGUAGAUAAGGGAAUCCGCCUGUGUCUUGAUUCUGCUGUACUGGAAGACAGCGAGUGGAGGAGGCUCGUAGCAUAAAUACCCGACGACAGUGAGUAAGUAAGCUGGCGACCACUGCACAGUUGUGCCACACACUCCCCAGGUUGUCUCUGCACAGACCUGCUGAUCAACCACAGGAUGGAAAAUGCAUGUUAUGUAGGAAAUAAGUCCAAGGGGCUUUCACAAUUCUUCAGUUCUUAAAAUAACUUAUAAAAAUUAUAUUAUGUCAGUAAUUCCUACCUAUUUAAGAAUCCUUUUCCCAACUUCUAUUCCCUUUCUGUCAUGAAGCACAGUGUAAGACAUGUUUAAAACAUCAUCAUGAACAACAGUGGUGUUUCAACCAAUUAAUUGCCCUCUGCAGGCGAUGCCAUCACAGGGAAGAAGCACUGCAAAGUUAUCCAUUUUAUUAUUAACUUCUCUUUAAACUUCUGAUCUUUUGCUAGAUCAUGGCUUGAAUGUGCCUAUUUUAGUGCAGCCAUCAUACCCAUGUACAAAAAGUCCACAGCAGAUAGUGAAACCUUAAUAACACUUUAGUCUUACAUUAUAUCAUAUAGUGCUUUGGCCUUCUCAGGGUACCUCCACCUAGAUCUCUUUAAAAGCAUGUAAUAGCCCUGUGAGGUAGGCAGCAUUAAAAAAUUCUCAAGAAAUGAAAUAUUAUACCUAACAUUUCAUGUUUAGACAGUAGAUGAGUCAGAAUUUAGACCAGAGAUUUCUGCCUCCCAUUAUACCAUACUUUUAUGUGUUCUGGAAGGCAUACUGGUGGAGAAAUAAACACACUAUUUGUUAUAGUUUUAUAAAAAGAAUGCCUAUUUGCAAUGAUGGCUAUUUCACUUCGUUCUUCCUGCUUCACAUAAUUCCUCAACUCUACACAUGUUCUCCUUAAAUGUAAAUUUAAAACAUUGGCAUAUAUUAAUUAAGACCUGAGGGAUCCCUGGGUGGCGCAGCGGUUUGGCGCCUGCCUUUGGCCCAGGGCGCGAUCCUGGAGACCCGGGAUCGAAUCCCACGUCGGGCUCCCGGUGCAUGGAGCCUGCUUCUCCCUCUGCCUGUGUCUCUGCGCCUCUCUCUCUCUCUCUGUGACUAUCAUAAAUAAAUAACAAUUAAAAAAAAUAUUUAAAAAAAAAAAAAAAAA